AAGUGGAGAAGGGUUCCAUGUGAACAGCAGUUGAACAUGGGUCAGUCGGUCCUAAGGGAUGGGCGAAAGCCGUUCGGAAGGGAGGGGCGAUGGCCUCCGUCGCCCCCAGUCGAUCGAAAGGGAAUCGGGUUCAGAUCCCCGAACCCGGAGUGGCGGAGACGGGCGCCGCUCGGCGCCCAGUGCGGUAACGCAAACGAACCCGGAGAAGCUGGCGGGGGCCCCGGGAAGAGUUCUCUUUUCUUUGUGAAGGGCCGGGCACCCUGGAAUGGGUUCGUCCCGAGAUAGGGGCCCACGCCCUGGAAAGCGCCGCGGUUCCGGCGGCGUCCGGUGAGCUCUCGUCGGCCCUUGAAAAUCCGGGGGAGAAGGUGUAAGUCUCGCGCCGGGCCGUACCCAUAUCCGCAGCAGGUCUCCAAGGUGAACAGCCUCUGGCGUGUUAGAACAAGGCAGCGUAAGGAAGUCGGCAUCAAGUCAGAUCCGUAACUUCGGGAUAAGGAUUGGCUCU
rnacentral:rRNA from 1 species